UGAUGAUGAUAAUGAUGAUGAUGAUGAUGACGAUGAUGAUGAUGAUGAUGAUGAUGAUCAUCAUCAUCAUCAUCAUAAUCUGCGUCGUCGCUGUCG
rnacentral:pre_miRNA from 1 species